UGAGGAAUAUUGGUCAAUGGACGCAAGUCUGAACCAGCCAUGCCGCGUGCAGGAAGACGGUCCUAUGGAUUGUAAACUGCUUUUGUACGGGAAGAAACACUCCUACGUGUAGGAGCCUGACGGUACCGUAAGAAUAAGGAUCGGUAAUCCGUG
rnacentral:rRNA from 1 species